CAAAGAAUAGUUUAGCUUAGAAUCCUAGCUUUGGGAGCCAGGGGUGGGAGUUAGAAUCUCCUUUCUUUGA
rnacentral:tRNA from 1 species